UCCGUAGGGUGCAAGCGUUAAUCGGAAUUACUGGGCGUAAAGCGUGCGCAGGCGGUUAUGUAAGACAGGGGUGAAAUCCCCGGGCUUAACCUGGGAACUGCAUUUGUGACUGCAUAGCUAGAGUACGGUAGAGGGGGAUGGAAUUCCGCGUGUAGCAGUGAAAUGCGUAGAUAUGCGGAGGAACACCGAUGGCGAAGGCAAUACCCUGGACCUGUACUGACGCUCAUGCACGAAAGCGUGGGGAGCAAACAGG
rnacentral:rRNA from 1 species